UCCUUGGUGGCUCAGAUGGUAAAGAAUCUGCCUGCAAUGUAGGAGACCUGGGUUCAAUCCCUGGUUUGGGAA
rnacentral:tRNA from 1 species